GACGAACCGAGCGAACGUUAUUCGGAAUCACUGGGCUUAAAGGGCGCGUAGGCGGGCCAUCAAGUCAGGGGUGAAAGCCCCCAGCUCAACUGGGGAAGUGCCUUUGAUACUGGUGGUCGCGAGGGGGAUAGGGGCGUGCGGAACUUCCGGUGGAGCGGUGAAAUGCGUAGAUAUCGGAAGGAACACCGGUGGCGAAAGCGGCGCGCUGGAUCCCUUCUGACGCUGAGGCGCGAAAGCCAGGGGAGCGAACGGG
rnacentral:rRNA from 1 species